AAUAUUGCGCAAUGGAGGGAACUCUGACGCAGCGACGCCGCGUGAGCGAUGAAGGUCUUCGGAUCGUAAAGCUCUGUCCUUGGGGAAGAAGGGAGCCGUAAGGCUUCUUGACGGUACCCAUGGAGGAAGCCCCGGCUAACUAUGUGCCAGCAGCCGCGGUAAUACAUAGGGGGCAAGCGUUAUCCGGAAUUAUUGGGCGUAAAGCGUGCGUAGGCGAUUUAUUAAGUCUGAUGUGAAAUGUCACAGCUUAACUGUGAAGGGUCAUUGGAAACUGGUAAACUUGAGUACAGUAGGGGUAAGUGGAAUUCCAAGUGGAGCGGUGGAAUGCGUAGAGAUUUGGAGGAACACCAGUGGCGAAGGCGGCUUACUGGGCUGGAACUGACGCUGAUGCACGAGAGCGUGGGGAGCAAACA
rnacentral:rRNA from 1 species